AUUUUUGUUGGUGUUUAGUUUAGGGGGACUACUGUGCAUGUUGAAAUUGUCUUAUCUGUUGUUUGCUAUGAAGCUUUAAAGAGCAGAUUGUCACUUGGCAGUCGAUGUGGUAUCAAAUUGGUUACCUUUCUAUCAGAGCAAGUAUAAAAGGCUCAGUUUUGUCAAACCUAAUCCUGGUUCGUUCGGCAAUAGUUCUAGUCCUUGUUAUCUCUUGAUAUUACUGCAAAUUUCCUCCAUUUUCCUUCGGACUUGAAGGUUUAAGCAUGGGAGACCUAUGGGUUGAGUGGGGUAUUUAAGCACUCCCUAUAAUGUUAUCUUCUUUCUGCCAUGCUUGAUUGAGUUGAUUGCAUAUCCCCUUUGAAAACGGCAAUGAGUUGCUGAUGAAGAGAAGAUGAAGAAGUCGGGUUAUACCCGAUUAAGUCCAUAGGAUUUCGUACUUGCUCAAG
rnacentral:misc_RNA from 1 species